rnacentral:tRNA from 1 species
CGACCACAUGGUUCUGUUCUCGGGCGACGGCGACUUCCGCUCGCUGGUCGAGGCGAUGCAGCGGCGCGGCGUGCGGGUCACCGUGAUCUC